rnacentral:lncRNA from 1 species
UUUGUUUAAGAAAUUGAAAUCUUUGUCAUACUCCAACAAGCCACAGCCUCUAAGCUCUCUAGUCAAUACGAAAUCACAGAGGACUUAAUCCAAACCUCUUGUAAAUGCAAAUAAAAGAAAGGUCAUGUUUAAGUCUUAAAUCAAUUCAUUGUUGAACCUUUUAAUACUUGUAGCAGAAAAUCAAGACAUUGAAAGAGGCUAAAUUAACAUGUUCUUAGUAACUUAUUCUUGUUCUUAAAUCUUCAUUAUCUUUUUCAAAGAGGCUAAAUUAACAUUAAUAAGAAAAGUACUAAUAAAACAGCAAUAACAGAAGCACAAAGCAAUAACAAAUAAAAAAUUAACUAAAUAGUUCACAUGAAAUACAAAAUUUAAUGACGAAGCAUAAAGCACUAAUUACUAGCAAACUCAAACCCUAAACUAGCGCUAAUCACUAGCAAACUCAAACCCUAAAUUAAUUUGGGAAAAUUUAAUUAAAGAAGAAAAGAAAGGGAGAGGAUUAUCUGUACCAGGCAGGGGCGGCAGUGACGAAGGAAAAGGAGGAGGAAGUGGAAGGACGGCGUACGGUACGGUGGACGGACGGAGACGGCAACGGCGAUGGUGGAUAUGGUGAUUCAACCUUCAAGGAAAGGAGAUGAAUGAAUCGCGUGUUUCUUUUCUUUUAUUUUCUGAAUCUAUUUGUUCUUUUUUUUUUUUUUGAAUUCUGGUGUCUCAUUUAGAUAUUUACAUUUAUAUAUUUUAGAAAAAUACUGUCAAAAUAUUUAAUUAAAGUAUAUAUUUUUUAAAAUGGGAUGAAAGAAAGUAUAUAUGAAAAGAAAU